AGUGAACGCUGGCGGUAGGCCUAACACAUGCAAGUCGAACGGCAGCACAGUAAGAGCUGGCUCUUACGGGUGGCGAGUGGCGGACGGGUGAGGAAUACAGCGGAAUCUACUUUUUCGGGGGGGAUAACGUAGGGAAACUUACUCUAAUACCGCAUACGACCUACGGGUGAAAGCAGGGGAUCUUCGGACCUUGCGCGAUUGAAUGAGCCGAUGGCGGAUUAGCGAGUUGGCGGGGUAAAGGCCCACCAAGGCGACGAUCCGUAGCUGGUCUGAGAGGAUGAUCAGCCACACUGGAACUGAGACACGGUCCAGACUCCUACGGGAGGCAGCAGUGGGGAAUAUUGGACAAUGGGCGCAAGCCUGAUCCAGCCAUACCGCGUGGGUGAAGAAGGCCUUCGGGUUGUAAAGCACUUUUGUUGGGAAAGAAAAGCAGCAGGUUAAUACCCCGCUGUUCUGACGGUACCCAAAGAAUAAGCACCGGCUAACUUCGUG
rnacentral:rRNA from 1 species